UGCCAGCAGCCGCGGUAAUACGAAUGGAGCGAGCGUUGUUCGGAAUCAUUGGGCGUAAAGCGUAUGUAGGCGGACUAGAAAGUCGGGAGUGAAAUCCCAGGGCUCAACCCUGGAAUUGCUUCCGAAACUUCUAGUCUAGAGUCCCGGAGAGGUAAGGGGAAUUCCGAGUGUAGAGGUGAAAUUCGCAGAUAUUCGGAGGAACACCAGUGGCGUAGGCGCCUUACUGGACGGGAACUGACGCUCAGAUACGAAAGCGUGGGUAGCAAACAGGAUUAGAUA
rnacentral:rRNA from 1 species